rnacentral:lncRNA from 1 species
UAUUUUCUAAGUCUUUUUUUAUUUUUUUUAUUUAUUUUAGUAUUCACUAAAUUAAUAUGAAGAUUAUAAAUUUCAUGGACAAUAAUUAAUGGAAAAUUUUCAAUUGAAAAAACAUGACUUUAAUAAACACUAAAUAUGGAAGAGUGGAAAAACUUUUCUUUCAUGUUUCUGUUUUGUUUCAUAUUUUUAUUUUCAAAAUUUCAAGCUUUGAUUUUAGUUAUAGAUUUGAUUAUUUAUUUGAUGAUAGAAGCAUUUUUACUUUUU